AGGGAUAGCCCAGAGAAAUUUGGAUUAAUACCUCAUAGUAUUAUGAAGUGGCAUCACUUUAUAAUUAAAGUCACAACGGUAAAAGAUGAGCAUGCGUCCCAUUAGCUUGUUGGUAAGGUAACGGCUUACCAAGGCAACGAUGGGUAGGGGUCCUGAGAGGGAGAUCCCCCACACUGGUACUGAGACACGGACCAGACUCCUACGGGAGGCAGCAGUGAGGAAUAUUGGUCAAUGGGCGCAAGCCUGAACCAGCCAUGCCGCGUGCAGGAUGAAGCAUCUAUGGUGUGUAAACUGCUUUUGUACGAGAAGAAACACUCCUACGUGUAGGAGCUUGACGGUAUCGUAAGAAUAAGGACCGGCUAACUCCGUGCCAGCAGCCGCGGUAAUACGGAGGGUCCAAGCGUUAUCCGGAAUCAUUGGGUUUAAAGGGUCCGUAGGCGGUUUAGUAAGUCAGUGGUGAAAGCCCAUCGCUCAACGGUGGAACGGCCAUUGAUACUGCUAAACUUGAAUUAUUGUGAAGUAACUAGAAUAUGUAGUGUAGCGGUGAAAUGCUUAGAGAUUACAUGGAAUACCAAUUGCGAAGGCAGGUUACUAACAAUAUAUUGACGCUGAUGGA
rnacentral:rRNA from 1 species